rnacentral:rRNA from 1 species
AAUAUUUCGCAAUGGGCGAAAGCUUGAAACAGCGACGCCGCGUGGGGGAAGAAGGCCUACGGGUCGAAGCCCCUUUCAUAGGGACGAAAUUGAUUGUACUGCAGAAGAAGCGCCGGCCAAUUACGUGCCAGCAGCCGCGGUAAUACGUAGGGCGCAAGCGUUGUCCGGAUUCAUUGGGCGUAAAGGGCUCGUAGGCGGUUUGGUAAGUCGGGUGUGAAAACUCAGGGCUCAACUUUGAGACGCCACUCGAUAUUGCCAUGAUUAGAGUCCGGUAGGGGAGUGUAGAAUUCCUGGUGUAGCGGUGAAAUGCGCAGAUAUCAGGAGGAAUACCGAUAGCGAAGGCAGCACUCUGGGCCGGUCCUGACGCUGAGGAGCGAAAGCGUGGGGAGCAAACAGGAUUAGAUACCCUGGUAGUCCACCCCGUA